rnacentral:rRNA from 1 species
UACGUAGGGUGCAAGCGUUAAUCGGAAUUACUGGGCGUAAAGCGUGCGCAGGCGGUGAUGUAAGACAGAUGUGAAUCCCCGGGCUCAACCUGGGAACUGCAUUUGUGACUGCAUCGCUGGAGUGCGGCAGAGGGGGAUGGAAUUCCGCGUGUAGCAGUGAAAUGCGUAGAUAUGCGGAGGAACACCGAUGGCGAAGGCAAUCCCCUGGGCCUGCACUGACGCUCAUGCACGAAAGCGUGGGGAGCAAACAGG